GAAGCAUGUAAAGAGGUGAAACAUAAUCAACAUGAAGGCAUGUGAUAUGGAGGGCCACAUAUGCAUAGCCAUAAUAACCAUGUGUUCCUCUGAAAGAGAAAAAAAAAAUGUAUAUUCUUAUUGUAUUCAUAAAUAUAUCCUUGAAUUUCUGUACUUAUUGCACAGAGAUGUUUAACUUUUUAUACAGAUGUGUGGGAGGGCAGGUCGGCCUCCAUUUGAUGAUACAGGAAUGGUUAUAAUAAUGACAAGAAGAGAAACAGUAAUAUAAUAAAUUAUACUCUUCCUUUGUUUUUUGUUUUUGUUUUCUGUCAUUAGAUUAGUCCUUUCUGAUGUCUGAACUGUUUGCCCUUAUCGAGUUAUAAUUUCAUAUAUGACUUCAGGUCCAUCUGUACGAGAAUCUCUUAAAUGGAUGUGAAAUGGUGGAAUCACAAUUGCUUUCGUGUGUGACAGAGCACUUGACUGCAGAGAUAGUUCAGUUGACUGUUUCUGAUAUUGCAAGGGCAAUUGAAUGGAUGAAGUGCUCAUAUUUAUAUGUGAGGAUGAAAAAGGUAUGUAUUUCUAGCAUCUUUUAGAGGACAUCAUCUGUAUAUUCUUUGUCAUUUAACAUAUUUAAAACUCAAUGCAUUGCAUGCAAGAAUCCUGAGAAAUAUGCAGUCAGAAAAGUGAUUUCUAGAGACCGCAUAGAGAAGCAUGUGCA
rnacentral:misc_RNA from 1 species